CAUCUGGAAACAUGUUUGUUUCCUGCGCUGGGGAGCUUCCUGUGCUGUGGAUUCUGCUUGCUCUCUCAGUUCUUCUUCUCAAUAUAUCUUCUCAUUUCACAGGACCCAUUCACUGAUGAGCCCUCAUUCUCUCUAAAUGGAAGUCACCUCUGGGAGGUAGAAGGGACUGUGCAGCUCUUCUGGCCUGGAAAUACAUUUUACUUCUGAAGCAUCAUUGAUGAAACAGACUUCUAUCCUUCUCAACUGCAGCAUGAAUGGAGGUCUCAUAUCCCAGGAGACACAGCCACAGCUGGCAGGGCAUCCUCAGUGCUGUGUGGCUAUGAAGCACAGUGUCCUGCUAGCUUGCCAUGGCAUGCAGCAGGACUGAGAAGCAGGGUGCUGUGGGGUACCGCUGAGAUUGGGGCUGCUUGCCACAGGAGUGAAACCUCGUUUACGCUGGCUGACUGAGGCAUGGAGAUGCAUAUUGGCUGUUGUGCAAUGGGCUUGAAAGACUUCGACCUUACAUGGAGAUGCUUUUAUGCUGCAACUGGAGUAGCUCUAAAAUGCCUUGAGAAACUAACAUCAGUUUCAAGCAGCAAAUUGUUAAAAUUGGGAAAGAGGGCUACAAACAAAGGAGCAAAGAAGAAAUGGGGUGGAGGUGGGGCAGGG
rnacentral:lncRNA from 1 species